rnacentral:rRNA from 1 species
AUUGAACGCUGGCGGCAGGCCUAACACAUGCAAGUCGAGCGGAUGAAGGGAGCUUGCUCCUGGAUUCAGCGGCGGACGGGUGAGUAAUGCCUAGGAAUCUGCCUGGCAGUGGGGGAUAACGUCCGGAAACGGGCGCUAAUACCGCAUCCGUCCUGAGGGAGAAAGUGGGGGAUCUUCGGACCUCACGCUAUCUGAUGAGCCUAGGUCGGAUGAGCUAGUUGGUGGGGUAAAGGCCUACCAAGGCGACGAUCCGUAACUGGUCUGAGAGGAUGAUCAGUCACACUGGAACUGAGACACGGUCCAGACUCCUACGGGAGGCAGCAGUGGGGAAUAUUGGACGAUGGGCGAAAGCCUGAUCCAGCCAUGCCGCGUGUGUGAAGAAGGUCUUCGGAUUGUAAAGCACUUUAAGUUGGGAGGAAGGGCAGUAAGUUAAUACCUUGCUGUUUUGACGUUACCAACAGAAUAAGCACCGGCUAACUUCGUG